UGGCGCAACUAUCGCACCUAGAACGAUUCUUUUUCCACAAAACCUAUUUAAAUCUUAGUCGAAUCCAAUCGCCGGUGAAAAAAAAUCAAAAUGGCGGAAAAACAAGAUGGCCGCCAUACAAAAUUUCGUUUUUCCAGAAAAUGUCUCGGAGGUAAAAAUUAUGUAUGGGAAUGUAAUCGGAGUGUCUUGUCGAGUACGGAAAAUGUUCUUAAUCUUCGAAAACUGCUCCGCAUCAGGGAGACACCCUACGGCCUGGCAAAACUAUAAAACCUGGAGCAAUUUUUCUUUCGCGAAACAUAUUUAAAUCUUGGUCAAAUCCAAUCCCUGGUGAAAAAAAACCAAAAUGGCGGAAAAACAAGAUGGCCGCCAUACAAAAUUUUCGUUUUUCCUGAAAAUGCCUCGAGGGUGAAAAUGAUGUAUAGGAAUAUGAUCGGACCGUCAUGUCGAGUAUGAAAAUAUGUCUGGGUUUCCGAUAGCUGCUCCGCAUCAGGGAGACACCCUACGGCCUGGCAAAACUAUCGCACCUGGAACUUUUUGGUUUUCAUGAAACCUAUUUAAAUCUUGGUCAAAUUUUAUCGCCGAAGAAAAAAAAAUAAAAUGGCGGAAAAACAAGAUGGCCGCCAUACAAAUUUUUAGUUUUUCCUGAAAAUGCCUUGGGGGUUAAAAUGAUGUAUAAAGGUUUUUAUCGGAACGUCAUGUCGAGUAUAGAAAUACUUCUCGGUUUUCGAUUACUGCUCCGCAUCAGGGAGACACCCUACGGUCUGGGAAAACUAUCGCACCUGGAACGAUUCUUUUUUCACGAGGCCUAUUUAAAUCUUGGUCAAAUUUUAUCACCGGAGAAAAAAAAACAAAAUGGCCGAAAAACAAGAUGGCCGCCAUACAAAAAAAUGUUUUUCUAGAAAAUGUCUCGGGGAAAAUAACUGUGUAUAGGGUUGUAAUCGGAACGUCUUGUGGAGUAUGGAAAUACUUCUCGAUCUUUAAAAGCUGCUCCGCAUCAGGGCGGCACCCUACGGCCUGGCGAAACUAUCGCAUCUGGACCUUUUUUGUUUUUACAAAAACUAUUUAAAUCUUCGUCAAAUUUUACUGCCGGUGAAAAAAAAACAAAAUGGCGGAAAAACAAGAUGGCCGCCAUACAUAA